rnacentral:sRNA from 1 species
CUGGGCGUGCUGCGGACAUAUGAAGUGGACGUGGGUGUCGAUGCCGCCCGCGGUGAUGAUCUUGCCCUCGCCGGCGACGACGUCGGUGCAGCUGCCGACCACCAUGUKGGGCGUCACGCCGUCCAUGACGUCCGGGCUGCCGGCCUUGCCGAUGCCGACGAUGAGGCCGGCCUUGAUGCCGAUAUCCGCCUUGUAGAUGCCGGUCCAGUCGACGAUGAGGGCGUUCGUCACGACCACGUCGAGCGAGUCGGCGUCGGCGCGGCCGGUCGCCUGGCCCAUGCCCUCGCGCAG